rnacentral:rRNA from 1 species
CAAUGGGAAGUACAACGAGUUGCGAAGUCGCGAGGCUAAGCUAAUCUCUUAAAGCUUCUCUCAGUUCGGAUUGCAGGCUGCAACUCGCCUGCAUGAAGCCGGAAUCGCUAGUAAUCGCGGAUCAGCACGCCGCGGUGAAUACGUUCCCGGGCCUUGUACACACCGCCCGUCACACCACGAGAGUUUGUAACACCCGAAGUCGGUGAGGUAACCUUUUGGAGCCAGCCGCCUAAGGUGGGAUAGAUGAUUGGGGUGAAGUCGUAACAAGGUAGCCGUAUCGGAAGGUGCGGCUGGAUCACCUCCUUUCUAAGGAA